AUGAUUUUCUUUUCAAUUCUAGGUUCUGGAGGUCUAAGUUUUCUUCAAUUCUGCAACCUCGACAGUUUUAGGACAAAGUUUGUAUUAGGCUUCUCUAUCUUCCUGGGCUUAUCUAUCCCACAGUACUUUAACGAGUACACAUCAAUUAAUGGGUUUGGUCCAGUUGACACUGGAGCAAGAUGGUUCAAUGAUAUGGUAAAUGUGUCAUUCCAAUCAAAAACAUUUCGUUUGAGACAGCGUUUCUACAGAGAGAAAGAGGGAAAACUAAUCUUAGUUUUGUUCCAAUCUUAG
rnacentral:lncRNA from 1 species